rnacentral:rRNA from 1 species
GUCUCUUUGUUAUUUUUAUAUAGGGAGUUUAACCUGCCCGGUGAUGGUUUGAAAUUUAACGGCCGCAGUACUUUGACUGUGCGAAGGUAGCAUAAUUAUUUGCCUUAUAAUUGAAGGCUUGUAUGAAUGGUUUGACGAGAAUAAAUCUGUCUUAAUUUGAUUUUUUAGAAUUUAACUUUUAAGUGAAGAGGCUUUUAUUUUAUUGAUAGACAAGAAGACCCUGUCGAGCUUAAAUUUUAUAGGUAAAUAUGAAUAUUUAUGUUUUUUAUGGAUUUUAGUUGGGGUGACUAAGGAAUUAAAAGAGUUUCCUUAUGAAUAAUUUAAUAUUUAUUGAUUUUGAUCCACGUUUUGUGAUAAUUAGAAUUAGUUACCGCAGGGAUAACAGCAUAAUCUUUUUUGAGAGUUCAUAUCGAAAAAAGGGUUUGUGACCUCGAUGUUGGAUUAAAGUGUCCUAAAGGUGCAGAAGUUUUUAAGGGUUAGUCUGUUCGACUAUUAAAAUUUU